rnacentral:rRNA from 1 species
AUUGAACGCUGGCGGCAGGCCUAACACAUGCAAGUCGAGCGGAUGAAGGGAGCUUGCUCCAGGAUUCAGCGGCGGACGGGUGAGUAAUGCCUAGGAAUCUGCCUGGUAGUGGGGGAUAACGUCCGGAAACGGGCGCUAAUACCGCAUACGUCCUGAGGGAGAAAGUGGGGGAUCUUCGGACCUCACGCUAUCAGAUGAGCCUAGGUCGGAUUAGCUAGUUGGUGGGGUAAAGGCCUACCAAGGCGACGAUCCGUAACUGGUCUGAGAGGAUGAUCAGUCACACUGGAACUGAGACACGGUCCAGACUCCUACGGGAGGCAGCAGUGGGGAAUAUUGGACAAAGGGCGAAAGCCUGAUCCAGCCAUGCCGCGUGUGUGAAGAAGGUCUUCGGAUUGUAAAGCACUUUAAGUUGGGAGGAAGGGCAGUAAGUUAAUACCUUGCUGUUUUGACGUUACCAACAGAAUAAGCACCGGCUAACUUCGUG